UACGGAGGGGGCUAGCGUUGUUCGGAAUUACUGGGCGUAAAGCGCACGUAGGCGGCUUUGUAAGUUAGAGGUGAAAGCCCGGGGCUCAACUCCGGAAUUGCCUUUAAGACUGCAUCGCUAGAAUUGUGGAGAGGUAAGUGGAAUUCCGAGUGUAGAGGUGAAAUUCGUAGAUAUUCGGAAGAACACCAGUGGCGAAGGCGGCUCACUGGCCCGGUACUGAACGCGUGAUGUGCGAAAGCGUGGGGAGCAAACAGG
rnacentral:rRNA from 1 species